AAGAAGAGCAGGAGUGGAGUGACGGAUACUCGUAUCUCAUCGCAAUACAGGCGUGGAGGCGGUCCACCUGCGUCCGUACGACUCAGUCGGAACUCUGCCUGUUUUUGAUGCGAACGAAUUGAGCAGAACUUGCUUGGUGUAGAUAAUGGUUGAGAAGACCCACUUCUAUUUCUCCUGAACCUAAUAUAAUACUGACACAGCGUUGGUGGUCAGUGACCAUUUAUUGGAUGGAUAGGCUAAAGUCCUGGUGGAGUGCCCAAGACCAGAACACUGGGGAGAAACCCUCUGAACUCCUGUCCACACUCCUGUCCACAGUGCAGGCUUCCCUGGUGGCUCAGUGGUAAAGAAUCCAUCUGCCAAUGGCGGAGACGCAAGAGAUGUGGGUUUGAUACCUGGUCCGGG
ensembl:lncRNA